AUAUGUGAGAAUGGGCACAGUUGAUCGUGGUGUCCAGAAUUGAUAAAUGUGGCUAAAUUGAGACACAGAUUAUGCUUCCACCAGAGUAAAUUCAUUGCAGUAGUGACAAUGAGAACUGUAAUUUUU
rnacentral:snoRNA from 1 species